UGGCGGACGGGUGAGUAACGCGUGGGUAACCUGCCCUGUACUGGGGGACAACAGUUAGAAAUGACUGCUAAUACCGCAUAAGCGCACAGGACCGCAUGGUCCGGUGUGAAAAACUCCGGUGGUACAGGAUGGACCCGCGUCUGAUUAGGUAGUUGGCGGGGUAACGGCCCACCAAGCCGACGAUCAGUAGCCGACCUGAGAGGGUGACCGGCCACAUUGGGACUGAGACACGGCCCAAACUCCUACGGAAGGCAGCAG
rnacentral:rRNA from 1 species